rnacentral:rRNA from 1 species
UUGGAGGGCAAGUCUGGUGCCAGCAGCCGCGGUAAUUCCAGCUCCAAUAGCGUAUAUUAAAGUUGUUGCAGUUAAAAAGCUCGUAGUUGAAUUUCGGGAUUGACGUGACGGUCGUGCCUUACGGGGUAUGAACUGUCGCCGUUGAUUUCUCACCUUCUGGAGAAGCUCGAUGUCCUUAAUUGGGUGUCUUGCGGAACCAGGACCUUUACCUUGAAAAAAUUAGAGUGUUUAAAGCAGGCAUUUUGCUCGAAUACAUUAGCAUGGAAUAAUAAAAUAGGACGGCAUGGUUCUAUUUUGUUGGUUUCUAGGAUCACCGUAAUGAUUAAUAGGGAUAGUUGGGGGCAUUAGUAUUCAAUUGUCAGAGGUGAAAUUCUUGGAUUUAUUGAAGACUAACUACUGCGAAAGCAUUUGCCAAGGAUGUUUUCAUUAAUCAAGAACGAAAGUUAGGGGAUCGAAGACGAUCAGAUACCGUCGUAGUCUUAACCAUAAACUAUGCCGACUAGGAAUCAGACGAUGUUAAUUUUUUAAUGACUCGUUUGGCACCUUACGGGAAAC